UGCCAGCAGCCGCGGUAAUACAUAGGGGUCAAGCGUUGUCCGGAUUUAUUGGGCGUAAAGAGCUCGUAGGCGGUUUUAUAAGUCAAAUGUGAAAUCCCCGAGCUCAACUUGGGAACUGCGUUUGAAACUGUAAGACUAGAGUGUGUCAGAGGGGGGUAGAAUUCCAAGUGUAGCAGUGAAAUGCGUAGAGAUUUGGAGGAAUACCAAUGGCGAAGGCAGCCCCCUGGGAUAACACUGACGCUCAUGCACGAAAGCGUGGGGAGCAAACAGGAUUAGAUA
rnacentral:rRNA from 1 species